UUCUGCAAGCCUGAGGACUGAGGGUGCAGUAUGAUAGAGUCAGGGCGGCCAUGCGUCGUGUAGACACCGUUGGGAUGGCAUCACGUUUGGUCCAGUUUGGGACGGACGCUGUUGUCCCGCUUCAACACAGCUGGACAUAAGCAGUGCCUAAUGAGUCGGCUUCUGCUGACAUUCUGCUCAAGUAAAUCAUGUAUUUCAAAAUAUGCAGGAGGAUGCCCCUUGAGGACUGUAUUUGGACAUAUCAAACCAUUUUUGUGACCAGGUUUAGUGAUAAUGAUUGAAUAUUUUCUGUUUUUUCAGGUACAACAUUGUUAUCUUUGGUGGCAUUGAUGGUUUUUUUUGAAAGAUAAUGUGUCUUGGUGCAACUUCCAACAACCUGGCAUCUACCACACUGGCUUUCUUUCAGGGUUCAGUGGAGGAGUUUGGUUUCCUCUUUCAGGCUUUCAGUCCAUUUUCAUCUGAAAUUAAAUGAAGAUAAAACAGAAAUUUUUGCCAAGUAUGAAAGAUUACAAGUCAGCAUUCAACUUCAUGCAAUAAUAUAAAUUAGCAGCAGGCAAGUUAGAAAUCUGGGGGUGGUUCUGGACUCAGACCUGAAUUUUAACCGUCACAUUAGUAUUAAGGUCAGCCUAAUCCCACCUGAAAAACAUAUCAAGGGUUAGGGGACUGAUGUCUCAGCAGGAUUUACAAAAACAUGUCUGCUCUUUUAUUUUCAGUAGACUACAACAGUCACAUGGUUUUAUAAGUCCAAAUCGCUGCAGUUUGUUCAGAACACUGGCUUCCUCUCUGUCGUAGAAUAGAUUUGAAAAUUUAGCUGUUGGUUUAUAAAUUUCUGAAUGGGUGAGGGCCAAAAUACAUUUAUGAACCAACUAGAAUCCAAAGGUCAUCAGGGUCAUCCUUACUCUCUGCAUUCAGAGUUCGAAUCAGAGCGAGACAGCAUUCAAUUUAUAUGCUUGUCACCUGUGGAAUUUAGUCCAUGAUUGAUCAUGAUCAUUUAUCUAUCUCCAAAAUAUGUUUUAGGUUGGAAAGAAUUUUUUAGCUCUGUUCAAACUUCUCAUCAAUGCAGUGCUGUACUUUUAUGUAAUUGUGGAAAUUUUUAAUCCGUUCCAUAUUUUGUUUUGAGGGUACGUGCUGAUCAAGGGGUGGAAAACGUGGAGGUUGCAUGUGUCAUGUUUAUGGUUCGUGGGACAGGAAGAAGCAGCUUCAUAUCUGGAAAGUGUUCACAAUCAAAGGAUUGAGCGACUGUGGAGAGACCUGUGGGCAGCUGUGACAUGCACUUAUGAUGAUGUGCUUCACUACCUUGAAGGGGGUACCUCAACAUUUCAAAUGUUGCACACCUCUUCUGUUGCCAUUAUGGCUUCCUGCCACGGCUGCAGGAUGAUCUGGAUACUUUGCGCAGUGGCUGGGACAACCAUCCACUUUGAACUGAAAGUAACAUGACUCCUAACUUGACAGAGAUACAUUUUAAUUGUGUACAGAUUCCACAAAUCAAAUGGGAAGACAGCGGGCUUCCUCUGCAGAAUGUGUCAAGUGUCAGUGCCGAACUCCAAUUUGGAACUGACUUAUGAACAUAUGUCAGCUUUAAGGGAUGCAGUCAACCCCAGAGCUACAUUUCAGUCUUUUGGCUGUGAAAUUUACAUUGCUGCAGUUCAGUUUUGUGAAGUUUUUUAUACUUUAAAAGUUGCUCCUGCAGGAACCACUUCCUGGAAGUCAACACGCCAGCAGUACCCGAGGAAGUGGUGCGCCACCCUUGCCAGGAGAGUCCAGUCAGUUGGUACACAUUCACCAGUGACCCCAGAGGGGAGUGCGUAAUCGUAGACUGCGUAGGGAAUGACGGAGAGAUGAUGGCGCACGCAUUUAAGUCACUGCACUUCAAUGUGACCCUGCAUAUAUGGCUAAAGCUGGUCGAGACCGUUUCUAUGCUCAGAAAAGUCUUCCGAAGGAGUCCGGACCGCUGCGGCGACGCCUUCGUCUACUGCAUCAUCAGCCGGGCGACCGACAAUCUCCUCCAGGCCACGAACACGAACUGCGAAGGUCUCCGUCUGGAAGAUGUCCGCCGCUUUUUCAACGCCGACGCCUGUCCGGCGCUGGUCGGCAAGCCGAAACUGUUCUUCAUCCAGAGCUACACUGUGUCAGAGUUGCAACCCUGCGCUGUGGAGAACCGCUGGGAUGACAGACAACAGCAGCACUCACAAUCACAACUUGGGGCAAUUUAGAGUGUCCAAUUAAUGUUGCAUGUUUUUGGGAUGUGGGAGGAAACCGGAAUGCCCGGAGGAAACUUACGCAGGCACGGGGAGAACAUGCAAACUCCACGCAGGUGGGGCCGGGAUCGAACACGGGUCCUCAGAACUGUGAGGUCAAAUAAAGUUCACCCGUAAAGGUCACGGGAGUCGACAUCUGCUCGAUCUUCACGUGGAGGUGAAUGGCGCAAUCUUGGAGCACAACAGCCGGCAUCCUGAGGAUCAGUACCACAUAGACCUUUAUUUGUAGUUGUCUGACGACUUGCCUGUUUAAUAGCUGUCAGUAUUUGCACUUCAAUCUAUCUAACAAUGAAAAUACAGUACUUACGAUACUACUGUAUUCAGAUGAGCUUUUUUUACAUCGAUAUAUCUUGUUUUAUAUUUACCACGUGUGUCUACCUUGCACAGUGCAGCUAAAAACAUUUGUCGAGUUUCAUACUAGUAUUGCUCCACUGUACACGACAAUGAUUUGCAGUUGUGCCUCUCCUGUCUUUUUUAAUAAAUGAGAUACACAAUGUAAAAAUA